rnacentral:tRNA from 14 species
UUGGCUCAGCGGUAGAAUGUGAGCCUACCGACUGCGAGACACGGGUUUGAAUCUGU